CUGAUAAUGUGGUGAAUUUUCAAGUCCCAAUGUGUAUGGUGAAUUUCCUUUUUCAAGUAAGUUAAUCAGAGUUAAUGUAUUCAGUUGAGGUAUCAGUAUUACUUAUGCUAAUGCAUUGGUUAUGGUCUUCGAUUAGCAUGAUGAGUGAAUUUGGAAUGAUGUAUGUUGAAUCGUUCUGUUGACUAGAAGAGAGAAUUUCU
rnacentral:lncRNA from 1 species